rnacentral:lncRNA from 1 species
ACAGCAGCACUUUGAUGAUUACAGCUCCCAGGUUUUGCAUGGUCAGUUGGUGACUUGGUGGGGAGGUUCAUGACUGAUUUAAAAAUGCUGUUUUUUUACUGAGUAAACAGAAGUCAUCUGGGGGGCAGGGAGAGGCAAGACAGCAGCAGAACCGCAGGCAGCUGUUUCCAUGUGCAGCCACGGUGAUCACUUAGACCUGUAGAGCAACAAGAACAACAAAUACAUUUGCCUAUCAUGGUCAUGGUUCUUGGGAACACCUUGACAGGCUUACUUAGCCCUCAGCCAGGUUUCCUCCAAGACCAGCAAUCCCAAACCAGAGGAGCUAUAUGGACCUCUACACACUGAUAAAAUAUGCUAUUGUAAUAGUUGUAGUUCUUAGUUAGGAAACUUAGUAAAAGUCUGUGAUUAAGAGGUAAGCUGUGCAGUAGUCUGAGAUCUGAACAGUCUCAGGCUGUGGUUGUAAUGAUUCUGGAUCUUUUCCCUCCAGAUACUGUGCCUGAGUCCACCUCUAACAGUAAAAUUCAUAAACAAAAUUCUUGUCCAGAAAGAACUAUGAGAUAAAAUAGGUUUUGCUGUGGUCAACUUAGUACUCAAAAGCUACAUAUCUGCCACCAAGGGGUGGCUGGAAUUGGAUUCCCUUUGUAGAGAGUUAUAUUUUUUAACUCCUCAAUAAUGUGUUGCACUGACCUUGAUAGACCUGAUUUUGCAAUCAGCUGUCAAGUAAUUAUUUUUGGUCACUGUUAACCUUGAUUAGAUUAGAGACACCAAGCUACUGUCUUCACUUGCUUAGCUCUUUGGUGACUUUUGGUAGUCUCCUGUGUUGGAGAUUACAAAGCUUUCCGGGUGUUCGCUUCAAAUACUUCUCAGGUUUGUCUUAUGAGUGAUGGUCAAUUGAUUUGAGCUUGAUGAGGUGAGACUUGCAACACUGAGCAUGAUGAGGUGAGACUGGAACAAGUGAGAAUUCAAACAGUUUGCAGAAAUGCUAUCAUCUGUCUUCACACUCUUCUUGUUUCUGGCUCGAAUUGAUUUAUUUCUCACUUAUUCUUUAUACUGAGGGCAUGGAGAAUUCAUCUUCCUGCUAAUCAGGUGAGCUGUCUAAGUAUUGCACUUUUCUCAGUUU